rnacentral:rRNA from 1 species
GUAGGGAAUAUUGGGCAAUGGAGGCAACUCUGACCCAGCCAUGCCGCGUGCAGGAUGACGGCCCUCUGGGUUGUAAACUGCUUUUGUACGGAACGAAACGGUCCUGGUUAAUACCUGGGGCUAAUGACGGUACCGUAAGAAUAAGCACCGGCUAACUACGUGCCAGCAGCCGCGGUAAUACGUAGGGUGCGAGCGUUAAUCGGAAUUACUGGGCGUAAAGCGUGCGCAGGCGGUGCUGUAAGACAGGCGUGAAAUCCCCGGGCUCAACCUGGGAAUUGCGCUUGUGACUGCAGUGCUGGAGUACGGCAGAGGGGGAUGGAAUUCCGCGUGUAGCAGUGAAAUGCGUAGAUAUGCGGAGGAACACCGAUGGCGAAGGCAGUCCCCUGGGCCUGUACUGACGCUCAUGCACGAAAGCGUGGGGAGCAAACAGGAUUAGAUACCCUAGUAGUCC